rnacentral:lncRNA from 1 species
GUAUUUGCUUGUACAGGAGGCCAGCAAUGCAACCCUACCAUGACCAACCAGACUCUUCCUUCUGGGAAGCAGAAUUUUGAACAGAAGGCCAACAGACUGGAAAUGUUUGUUUCAGCAACAGAAUUGUUGAAAGAAUCUCUUCCCCCAAACUGCUAUAAACAGAAGUUGCUAAGUAUUUUCUAUGGAUUCAUUUAUUUGGACCUCCCAAACUUGUCA